rnacentral:rRNA from 1 species
AAUGAACGCUGGCGGCAGGCCUAACACAUGCAAGUCGAGCGCCCCGCAAGGGGAGCGGCGGACGGGUGAGUAACGCGUGGGAACGUGCCCUUUGCUACGGAAUAGCCCCGGGAAACUGGGGGUAAUACCGUAUACGCCAUACGGGGGAAAGAUUUAUCGGCAAAGGAUCGGCCCGCGUUGGAUUAGGUAGUUGGUCGAGUAAUGGACUACCAAGCUGACGAUCCAUAGCUGGUUUGAGAGGAUGAUCAGCCACACUGGGACUGAGAAACGGCCCAGACUCCUUCGGGAGGCAGCAGUGGGGAAUCUUAGACAAUGGGCGCAAGCCUGAUCUAGCCAUGCCGCGUGAGCGAUGAAGGCCUUAGGGUUGUAAAGCUCUUUCGUGGGGGAAGAUAAUGACUGUACCCCAAGAAGAAGCCCCGGCUAACUCCGUGCCAGCCGCCGCGGUAAUAC